UACGGAGGGAGCUAGCGUUGUUCGGAAUUACUGGGCGUAAAGCGCACGUAGGCGGCUUUGUAAGUUAGAGGUGAAAGCCUGGAGCUCAACUCCAGAAUAGCCUUUAAGACUGCAUCGCUUGAAUCCGGGAGAGGUGAGUGGAAUUCCGAGUGUAGAGGUGAAAUUCGUAGAUAUUCGGAAGAACACCAGUGGCGAAGGCGGCUCACUGGACCGGCAUUGACGCUGAGGUGCGAAAGCGUGGGGAGCAAACAGG
rnacentral:rRNA from 1 species